AAUGGGGGAAACCCUGAUGCAGCAACGCCGCGUGAGUGAAGAAGGCCUUCGGGUCGUAAAGCUCUGUCUUCCGGGACGAUAAUGACGGUACCGGAGGAGGAAGCCACGGCUAACUACGUGCCAGCAGCCGCGGUAAUACGUAGGUGGCGAGCGUUGUCCGGAAUUACUGGGCGUAAAGGGUGCGUAGGCGGUUCCUUAAGUGGGAUGUGAAAACCAUGGGCUUAACCCAUGAAUUGCAUUUCAAACUGGGGUGCUAGAGUGCAGGAGAGGGAAGUGGAAUUCCAAGUGUAGCGGUGAAAUGCGUAGAGAUUUGGAGGAACACCAGUGGCGAAGGCGACUUCCUGGACUGUAACUGACGCUGAGGCACGAAAGCGUGGGGAGCAAA
rnacentral:rRNA from 1 species